GACGAACGCUGGCGGCGUGCCUAAUACAUGCAAGUCGAGCGCAGGAAAUCGACGGAACCCUUCGGGGGGAAGUCGACGGAAUGAGCGGCGGACGGGUGAGUAACACGUAAAGAACCUGCCCUCAGGUCUGGGAUAACCACGAGAAAUCGGGGCUAAUACCGGAUGGGUCAUCGGACCGCAUGGUCCGAGGAUGAAAGGCGCUUCGGCGUCGCCUGGGGAUGGCUUUGCGGUGCAUUAGCUAGUUGGUGGGGCAAUGGCCCACCAAGGCGACGAUGCAUAGCCGACCUGGGAGGGUGAUCGGCCACACUGGGACUGAGACACGGCCCAGACUCCUACGGGAGGCAGCAGUAGGGAAUCUUCCACAAUGGACGAAAGUCUGAUGGAGCAACGCCGCGUGAACGAUGAAGGCCUUCGGGUCGUAAAGUUCUGUUGUAAGGGGAGAACAAGUGCCGCAGGCAAUGGCGGCACCUUGACGGUACCUUGCGAGAAAGCCACGGCUAACUACGUGCCAGCCGCCGCAGUAA
rnacentral:rRNA from 1 species